AUUGAACGCUGGCGGCAGGCCUAACACAUGCAAGUCGAACGAGUGGCGGACGGGUGAGUAAUGUCUGGGAAACUGCCUGAUGGAGGGGGAUAACUACUGGAAACGGUAGCUAAUACCGCAUACCAUCAGAUGUGCCCCGAUGGGAUUAGCUUGUUGGUGGGGUAACGGCUCACCAAGGGGACGCUCCCUAGCUGGUCGGAGAGGAUGACCGGCCACACUGCAACUGAGACACGGCCCAGAGUCCUCCGGAAGGCAGCAGAGGGGAAUAUUGCACAAUGGGCGCAAGCCGGAUGCAGCAAGGCCGCGUGGAUGAAGAAGGCCUUCGGGUUGUAAAGUACUUUCAGCGGGGAGGCGUUACCCGCAUAAGAAGCGCCGGCUAACUCCGUGCCAGCCGCCGCGGUAAUUC
rnacentral:rRNA from 1 species